UAAAUAAUAUUAGUUGGUAGAGCAUGGGACUCUUAAUCUCGGGGUCGUAGGUUCGAACCCCACGUUGAA